rnacentral:rRNA from 1 species
GACGAACGCUGGCGGCGUGCCUAAUACAUGCAAGUAGAACGAAGUUGCGAACGGGUGAGUAACGCGUAGGUAACUGCCUGGUAGCGGGGGAUCACUAUUGGAAACGAUAGCUAAUACCGCAUACUACCAGAUGGACCUGCGUUGUAUUAGCUAGGUGGGGAGGUAACGGCCAACCAAUGCAACGAUACAUAGCCGACCUGGGAGGGUGAGCGUCCAGACGGUGACUUAGACACGGCCCAGACUCCUACGGGAGGCAGCAGUAGGGAAUCUUCGUCAAUGGGGGGAACCCUGACCGAGCAACGCCGCGGGAGUGAAGAAGGUUUUCGGAUCGUAAAGCUCUGUUGUUAAGGAAGCGGUACUUAACCAGAAAGGGACGGCUAACUACGUGCCAGCAGCCGCGGUAAUUC